CAACAGCUCUAAGAAUGUCAUCGAUCAUCGAUUUUGUUUUGGGAUGCGCGAUGCGCGCGGAUGAAGGACUGACCACCAUUGAAAGAAAUAUCUUGUCCUUUGUGGAUGUGUUAGAGACAAUAAGGAGAUCUCGUAACCCCCCAAGACAGAAAAGACAAUCAAAUAAGAACAAGAUGAAACACCACCGCCAGGGAGAUUAGUGUGGGUGUGGCCGCGCUGGUGUGGGUGACAACAUCAACUGCUGCCUAAUCCUAGUCAGUGGGGGGGAGUGCAGUUAUACUGAG